UGCCGUGCAUGCUACAGUACUGUCCCCCUAGAUCUCAAUCUUGGAAGUGUGCCACUGGAUUAGCUCUCCUUCCAUUUCCUUCAGGAUCAUUCCAUCUGCAUUUCCAGCCCCCACAGGCAACUCUGAAACUCCAACUCAUGGGUCCCUCUCAAAUUUAAAUGACCCAUACGAACAUUGUUCUACUUUAUUUUGAAGAACCAGUUCUUGUUUAUGCAAUUCUGUCUUCUUGCUUAUUCUUUCCAUUUUAAUGCCCUCCUGGGCUCCCAGCCUCAUCUCAAGCCACCAUCCAUCCUUGCUCACUCACACCAGGUCCUAUAAAGGAAACUCCUGCUAUCUCAACCCCCACCCCCCCCGCCCCCCGGCCCGCCCCGGGCCUUCUCUAGCGUGAUGAUUCAACCCAAGUGCCAGUGACAAUGGGAUGCCUGUCCCAACCCUUCCGGCCUUCUGCAUCCAUCAGAGCUGAUCACCAUCUCCUCUUCUCAACUAGCAGCCCAGGAACAGUGACGGGGCACUGCAGCCACCUUCCCCAGUAUCGGCGCAGGCCAGUUACAGAAGACUGUGAAUAUGAAGCUGGACCACCAAAAGUCCUUGGCUCAGCUUCAAGUGCUGGAUGGAGUAAAAACCACAAGAAACUCCUAGGUGGUCUGUGAGCAGACUGGCAGACAGGCAGGCAGAUGACAAGAGGAAGAGACCAAACAAAAAACAAACAAAAAGAACGGUAAUCUGGCGAGCUAGUCAAAUUCUUUGCUUGUUAAAAUUUAUUAGAAAUGAACUAAACCAUCAACAAAUUAAAUCAAGAUUUGCAACUGAGCCCCAGACUGGAGAUUAUGCAGACUGCCCGCCCAGGUGAAAUCCCUGGGAGGGAUGAGUGAGCUCUCUGACAAUUUUGUACAACCUGCUGCGCUUGGUUCCCCUUGAGCAAGGUGACGCUUUGUGCUUGGCUCCGAUCUCUAAUGCCAUCGUGGCCGGCAGGCGCAGGCGCAGGCGCAGGUCCCACUCUACACAAUGAACUGCACCCCGGUUCUGGGUGGAUGCCGAUCUCUCCUGACUGCGGGGGAACCAGCUUGGAAGGAGGAAGUUGCUCCAGUGGUAGAGGCGGAUGGGCGAGUGGGUAGGACAGAGAUGCUUUCUUGGAGAGCCCAUUUGGAUUCGUUUCUCCAGAUGUCUAGCAUGUGCUUUUGAGUUUGUUUGUUUUUU